CUCCGGUUAGGCAGUCUGUUAGCCGCGUAAAUUUCGAAAUUAUGUCUACUUUAUAAUUUGGUCGACAACGAGCAAACUUUGAACCAUCAGUUAUCAGCGGUCCUGUUAAAAGUAAACGGAACCUCAUUUACAGCCGUCAAUUCCUGGGGGUCCUGCUGAAAUACAACAUUUAUUAUUAUUGGAUUAAGACAGUUGUGGUUAUAGAAACUUGAAUAAUGGCAACCGAUUCUUACAAUUUUCACUGACUGGCAACAUAUCUUCUGUUUUAAAUUUAAUAAUCGUUCGUGCGACCAAUUUUUGUGACAUUUGCUGAGUGG